UACAGAGGCCUCGAGCGUUAGGCGGAAUCACUGGGCUUAAAGCGUGUGUAGGUGGAUGCCUAAGUACCUUGCGAAAUCCCACGGCUUAACCGUGGAAUUGCUUGGUAUACUGGGCGUCUUGAGCCACUCAGGGGCGAGCGGAACAAACGGUGGAGCGGUGAAAUGCGUAGAUAUCGUUUGGAACGCCACUGGUGAAAACAGCUCGCUGGGGGUGUGCUGACACUGAGACACGAAAGCCAGGGGAGCGAACGGG
rnacentral:rRNA from 1 species